UAUCUGAAACCCUUAAAUUUGAAUUGCUUUGGGCCCAAAAAAUUGAAUAAUUCCAAAUACAAAGAAGCAAUGGCAAUUCUAUAAUUUUUAAAGCAAUUAUGCACCUAUUAUGUAAAGUAACAGGUGAGAGGGUCAAACUAGAAUAGAACUUAGAAGUGGAGGGCCUUUCUGGGAACUAAAAUAAUAAAAUAAAGAUGGGGAAUGAAAUAAACAAACUUGGUAAUAUGAGGGUUCUUGUAGCUCUUGUGUAAAUAGGAUAAAAGUUGUCUUUAAUAACAAUAAGAAGAAGUCCUUCCUCAUGAUUGAAGCAGUAGAAUCAG